ACUCCUACGGGAGGCAGCAGUGGGGAAGUCUUGGACAAUGGGCGCAAGCCUGAUCCAGCCAUGCCGCGUGAGUGAUGAAGGCCCUAGGGUCGUAAAGCUCUUUCGCCAGAGAUGAUAAUGACAGUAUCUGGUAAAGAAACCCGGCUAACUCCGUGCCAGCAGCCGCGGUAAUACGGAGGGGGUUAGGCGUUGUUCGGAAUUACUGGGCGUAAAGCGCGCGUAGGCGGACUAGUCAGUUAGAGGUGAAAUCCCAGGGGCUCAACCCUGGAACUGCCUUUAAUACUGCUAGUCUUGAGUUCGAGAGAGGUGAGUGGAAUUCCGAGUGUAGAGGUGAAAUUCGUAGAUAUUCGGAGGAACACCAGUGGCGAAGGCGGCUCACUGGCUCGAUACUGACGCUGAGGUGCGAAAGUGUGGGGAGCAAACAGGAUUAGAUACCCUGGUAGCG
rnacentral:rRNA from 1 species